rnacentral:rRNA from 1 species
UGUGACUCUGUGGAUUUAGCUGGUGAGUAUGGUUUGAGCUUGGUCAAAUUGGUUGAUGCUUGAGGUCUGCGUAGCAGCAGGUCCCUUCCUUUCGGUGGGGAUGCGCGAUACACUUAUCAAGUGUUGUGCGCCUCUUGUAUCUCCGAGCCAGCUUGCCAGUGCACUUUCACAGAGUGGUCACCACGACCGGCAUCGCUGUCUGGCUGUUGCGGUUAAACCGUCCUUGCAUUUUCUAUACGGACUUGUCUGGGCGGGAUGGCAGGUAACUGGUUGAUUUGCUUGUGGUUCGCUGCAGGCGCUAAGUCUUCCGGUGUAAUUAGCUGACCGCAUCUGGCUUGUGCAGUAUGUCGGAGACGGCGGCUUGUGGUGUGUGCGUGCGUGCCAGUUGGUUGGCGUUUCCGGGUUUGGUUGUUAUGUUGCCUGUGUGUGCAGGCCUGAUGAUAGCUCGGAUUCGUUCGAUCGGCGGUUGCGUGCGUGUCACUAUAUCCAGGGCCAAUAGUCUGUGGUGUUGCGGUAGACUUUCCACCUGACCCGUCUUGAAACACGGACCAAGGAGAGUAACAUGUGCGCGAGUCAUUGGGCGUAACGAAACCCAAAGGCGAAGUGAAAGUGAAGGUCUGGCUUGUCUGGACUGAGGUGAGAUCCUGUCGUUUCUCACGCGCGGUAUCACCAAGCAUCGAACGGCAGGCGCAUCACCGGCCCGUCCCAUGGUGUGGUGACAUCCUUCGGGGUGUUCAUCACCGGGGCGGAGCAUGAGCGUACAUGUUGAGACCCGAAAGAUGGUGAACUAUGCUUGCGCAGGUUGAAGCCAGAGGAAACUCUGGUGGAGGACCGUAGCGAUUCUGACGUGCAAAUCGAUCGUCAGACGUGAGUAU